rnacentral:rRNA from 1 species
AGUAAAUAGAUACCCUGGUAGUCCACGCCGUAAACGAUGAGUACUAGGUGUAGGAGGUAUCGACUCCUUCUGUGCCGCAGUUAAACACAAUAAGUACUCCGCCUGGGAAGUACGGUCGCAAGAUUAAAACUCAAAGGAAUUGACGGGGCCCGCACAAGCAGCGGAGCAUGUGGUUUAAUUCGAAGCAACGCGAAGAACCUUACCUAGACUUGACAUCUCCUGAAUAGUGUAGAGAUACAUGAAGCCCUUCGGGGCAGGAAGACAGGUGGUGCAUGGUUGUCGUCAGCUCGUGUCGUGAGAUGUUGGGUUAAGUCCCGCAACGAGCGCAACCCUUAUUACUAGUUGCUACCAUUAAGUUGAGCACUCUAGUGAGACUGCCCGGGUU